UUCCAGACUCCUACGGGAGGCAGCAGUGAGGAAUAUUGGUCAAUGGGCGGAAGCCUGAACCAGCCAAGUCGCGUGAGGGACUAAGGCCCUGCGGGUCGUAAACCUCUUUUGCCGGGGAGCAGUGGUCCGGACGCGUCCGGACCGGGAGAGUACCCGGAGAAAAAGCAUCGGCUAACUCCGUGCCAGCAGCCGCGGUAAUACGGAGGAUGCGAGCGUUAUCCGGAUUUAUUGGGUUUAAAGGGUGCGUAGGCGGGCAUUUAAGCCGGCGGUCAAAUGUCGGGGCUCAACCCCGGCCUGCCGUCGGAACUGGGUGCCUUGAGUGGGCGAGAAGUAUGCGGAAUGCGUGGUGUAGCGGUGAAAUGCAUAGAUAUCACACAGAACACCGAUUGCGAAGGCAUCUCACGAAUCCGCGAUUGACGCUGAUGCACGAAAGCGUGGGUAUCAAACAGGAUUAGAUACCCGCGUAGG
rnacentral:rRNA from 1 species